CGUGAAGGAAACACAGGUGUGGUUGAGAUGCAGUUUUGUUCUGGUGAGAGGAGGCGUGCUGCUGCAGCAGCGAUGGAGGUACCUUGUUUUCAGUGACUUUUAAAUGAUAUAUACGGUGGUUUUAUCGGAAAGAAGAGGCUGCUGGUGUUUUGCGAAGACUGAAGGCUUGCCAUAGUACUGCUGUGGCCAGUCGUCAACGACCUGACGUCAUCGUGUUUGCCCUGCUGUGCCUGGAACGCCAAGCUGCUGUUUUCUGAGCUGGGCUUUAACUCGUUGCCUGAACUAAUCUGGUAGGAGAAGACACGUUUGCACCAGGAACAUUUCAGAGAUGAGGGGAGAAGAAAAAGAAAGGUGAUUCACCUUCUUCUGCCUCUUUAUGAAACAAUGGCUGUAUUCUGUGUCGCUAUUAGGCAAAGAGUUUCAAGCGUUUCAGCUCACACUUGUGUAUUUGGGGGACACGCCCAGAGGAACCAGAGUGAUCCAGAUUUAAGAAGUUCAUCACAGAGAAGCUAAGCUCGUCAAAGAGAUAAUAAAACUAAAACCUUUAAAAUGUGGGACA
rnacentral:lncRNA from 1 species